rfam:Brachypodium distachyon strain Bd21 chromosome 1, whole genome shotgun sequence.
UUUGUACUCCCUCCGUCCAACAAAGGAUGUCUCAACUUUGACCAAAUUUGAAUGCAUCUAUACACUAACUCAUGUCUAAAUAUAUCCAAAAUUUGACCAACUUGAGACAUUUUUUAUUGAACGGAGGAAGUACCCA